rnacentral:lncRNA from 10 species
CUCACCGACUCCACCUCCACUCACUCUCUAGCUUCUGUACUGCCUCCUCACCGGCAGCUCCCCACAGCCCUCCUGUCACCUCCAUGACGCCAAAUCCCACAGGCUUUUUAGCCCUCACCACCCCAUCCUCUCUGGUAGCUCAUGCAUUCCCCUCCUCCUGGAGAUGCUCUUCCUUGGCCUCACCACCACCUUUCUGCUGGUUUUCUUCCUGCAUGCUGGCCUGUAUACAGCCCUCACAGCAGCCAGGCUGGUAUCUGAAAGAUGUGAGCCAGUUAAGGCUGCUCGUUUUAACUCUCCAACGAUGUCCCAUUUAGAAUAAGAUUCCCAACCCUUGCCCUGCCCCUGAAAUGGGUCUUGCCCACCUCUCAGGCCACAUCCCAAACUCCUGACACCUUCACAAGUCUUUGUCAUUGUUUCCCCCCUACCCCAAGAUUUGUUCCCAUCAGGGGGCCUCAGCACUUUGCAGAUCCCUCUGUUUGGCAUGCUGUUCCCCCCUCCAUCUCCCUACAACUGGUUUUCCUAGCUGGAUGAGAGCUCUAUGAGGACAGGCAGUUUGUCUCUUUUGCCUCCUGCUUUGUCCUCAGCAUCUGGAACUGUUCCUGGUACACAUUCUCUCCUAGUAGAAGAAUGAACCAGAAAUGAACAUAAGCAUGUUGGAAUUCAUGUAUGUGGCAGACUGUAUUUUCCAAAGAUGGCCACAACAAUAUUUCUCAUUCCACAUGGUCUGCUGGAACCUUGUCACUCCUCCAUCAAGAGCUGGAACCCAUGUCCCCUGUACUUCAACCACUAUGGGUCCUUAUGACGGCCUCAACCAAUGAGUAGGUGAAAAGGACCCUUAUGUGACCUCCAAGGUAUAAUCAUCAGAAUUCCAUGAACUUCUACCUUCUUCUCUUGGGAUGCUUGCUCUUAGAACCUAGCUGCCAUGUUUUGAGGAAGCCUUAAGCAGUCUGUCGAGAGGCCUACAGCCAACACCAACUUGCCAGCCAUAUGAGUGUGCCAUCUUGAAAGUAGAUCCCCCAGCUACCACCAAACAGCCCAGUUGAUACCAUGUGAAAUGGAGAUUAGCUGCCUCUGCCAAGUACUGCCCAAGUUGCAGAUUUGUGAGCAAAAUAAAUGACUGCUAUUGUUUAAAGCC